rnacentral:rRNA from 1 species
AGGACGAACGCUGGCGGCGUGCUUAACACAUGCAAGUCGAGCGGAAAGGCCCUUCGGGGUACUCGAGCGGCGAACGGGUGAGUAACACGUGAGUAACCUGCCCUGGACUUUGGGAUAACCCUCGGAAACGGGGGCUAAUACCGAAUAUGACUUCUGCCCGCAUGGGUGGUGGUGGAAAGUUUUUCGGUCUGGGAUGGGCUCGCGGCCUAUCAGCUUGUUGGUGGGGUGAUGGCCUACCAAGGCGACGACGGGU